rnacentral:rRNA from 1 species
ACGGUGAGUAACACGUAUCCAACCUGCCGUCUACUCUUGGACAGCCUUCUGAAAGGAAGAUUAAUACAAGAUGGCAUCAUGAGUCCGCAUGUUCACAUGAUUAAAGGUAUUCCGGUAGACGAUGGGGAUGCGUUCCAUUAGAUAGUAGGCGGGGUAACGGCCCACCUAGUCUUCGAUGGAUAGGGGUUCUGAGAGGAAGGUCCCCCACAUUGGAACUGAGACACGGUCCAA